GACGAACGCUGGCGGCGUGCUUAACACAUGCAAGUCGAGCGGAGCGGUGAACGGGGGAGUAACGCGUGAGUAACUGCCCCCCUCUCUGGGAUAACAGUUGGAAACGGCUGCUAAUACCGGAUAGUGGGGGAUGACUGGCGUGCUAUCUGCUUGUUGGUGGGGUAGUGGACUUACAAGGCGACGACGGGUAGCCGGCCUGAGAGGGCGACCGGCCACAGGGGGCUGAGAUACGGCCCAAACUAGUACGGGAGGCAGGAGUGGGGAAGAUAGCACAAUCCAGGAAACCCGGAUGCAGGAACGCGCGUGCGGGAUGACGGCCUUCUGGUUUUAAACCGCUAUCAGCAAUGUGGCGGUAGUAGAAGAAGAAGCACCGGCUAACUACGUGCCAGCAGCCGCGGUAAUUC
rnacentral:rRNA from 1 species